rnacentral:rRNA from 1 species
AUUGAACGCUGGCGGCAGGCUUAACACAUGCAAGUCGAGCGGUAGCACAAGAGAGCUUGCUCUCUGGGUGACGAGCGGCGGACGGGUGAGUAAUGUCUGGGAAACUGCCUGAUGGAGGGGGAUAACUACUGGAAACGGUAGCUAAUACCGCAUAACGUCGCAAGACCAAAGAGGGGGACCUUCGGGCCUCUUGCCAUCAGAUGUUCCCAGAUGGGAUUAGCUAGUAGGUGGGGUAAUGGCUCACCUAGGCGACGAUCCCUAGCUGGUCUGAGAGGAUGACCAGCCACACUGGAACUGAGACACGGUCCAGACUCCUACGGGAGGCAGCAGUGGGGAAUAUUGCACAAUGGGCGCAAGCCUGAUGCAGCCAUGCCGCGUGUGUGAAGAAGGCCUUCGGGUUGUAAAGCACUUUCAGCGAGGAGGAAGGUGGUGAACUUAAUACGUUCAUCAAUUGACGUUACUCGCAGAAGAAGCACCGGCUAACUCCGUG